rnacentral:lncRNA from 1 species
UCCUGCUAAACCCCCAGCAUGUGCCUCCUGUAUUAACUGUAAUCGGAGUGAAGUUUUCGGGAUACAUAGUCUGUUCUGUUUGAAUAGAAAACCCUCUUCAAUUUUGAAUCCCGUUGGCUGUUCUCCAGCUUCAUAUUUUUUCCAGAUUUCAGAAAAAUCAUCAUCACAGUCAUACGAAGUUUUGAUAGCAUCAAACGCUGUUACUGUUGCCCUCAUGAUGGUGAGUACAGAUCUUCUUCUACUGAGUGCAUCAGCAACUGUGUUAUUCUUUCCAGCUUAGUGCUUG